GGAAGACAAAACAUCUCUGUGAGAGGCAAGCAUCUCUCGGAGAACAUUGCUGUUUAUUAGUUUGACUUGGAUGGUUCCUAGCUCUACAUGAAAAUAUUGACUGAGCCUCAAUCUCUGAGAUUCUGUCUUUGCCUUCCAGGUUUUAAGAUGCUGAGUCGAGGCAGAGUCUCAGCUUCUGGAGGAGACUGUGAAGACCCCCUGAUUUCUAGUCCCCACAGGGGCCAAAAGGGACUGAUUUUUAAAGACACCAAAAUCCUCUCCUUCAUUCAAGCCCGUAUUUUGUAAUCUAUUUGCAAAGUUGCCCAGUCAUGAAAUUAAAAGACGUUUACUACUUGGAAGAAAAGCUAUGACCAACCUAGACAGCAUAUUAAAAAGCAGAGACAUUACUUUGUCAACAAAGGUCCAUCUAGUCAAGGCUAUGGUUAUUCCAGUGGUCAUGUAUGGAUAUGAGAGUUGGACUAUAAAGAAAGCUGAGCACUGAAGAAUUGAUGCUUUUGAACUGUGGUGUUGGAGAACUCUUGAGAGUCCCUUAGACAGCAAGGAGAUCCAACCAGUCCAUCCUAAAGGAGAUCAGUCCUGAAUAUUCAUUGGAAGGACUGAUGCUGAAGCUGAAGCUGAAACUCCAAUACUUUGGCCACCUGAUGUGAAGAACUGACUCACUGGAAAAGACCCUGAUGCUGGGAAAGAUUGAAGGUGGGAGAAGAUGGUUGGAUGGCAUCACUGACUCGAUGGACAUGAGUUUGGGUAAACUCGGAGUUGGUGACGGACAGGGAGGCCUGGCAUGCUGCAGUCCAUGGGGUGGCAAAGAGUUGGACACGACUGAGUGACUGAACUGAACUAAACUGACUUACAAAGUUCCCCAAGUGGUCCUCUCUCAGUGGCAGCGUGGAGGGUCACAAGGGCUGGAGCCUGCCCUUCUCCACAACACUUUCCCACCUCUGCCCUGGCUUCAGGAUACUCAGGCAGCCCUGGAGGUCCCGAUCCAGCCCAGUGGUGGGAGAUACCCCAGCAUGAAUUCUCAUAAGGUGAAUAGGCAUGCAUUUUUUAAACAUUUUUAAAUUUAAAAAAUUUUAAAUCUCUACUUUUAUUUUUAUUUACUUAUUUUUGGCCACACUGUGCAGCUUGCAGGAUCUUAG
rnacentral:lncRNA from 1 species